AAAAAAAAAGAAAGUCAUCUUGGAGGAAACUAUAUAUAUAUAUAUGUGGCACAGGGGACUGAGUCCCAACCUCAGUAAGUUGCUGAGGCUGGUUUUGCCUGUGUCUCCCAAGUUAUGCACCGUCCUGCUCAGCUUGGGAGAAAAAUAGAUAUCUAUAAAUAUUAAAAAACAUAUCUAUCUGUUUCUUUAAUAUUUAAUCUGCCAAUGACCAAUACUACUCAAAUUGAUAUUUUAAAAAUAUUAUUGUAUUUUUAUACCUUUAUUUUAUUUGUUUUUAUGUGGUGCUGAGGAUGGAACCCAGGGCCUCACAUGUGCUAGGCAACCACUCUACCACUGAGCCCCAGCCCCAGCCCCUGGGAAAAUAUUUUUUAAAACUUCACAAAAUGCUCAAGUCGACCUAGGCUUUGGGCAGUAGGGGUACUGAGGGCUGUCAGUUUGCCUAAGGAAAUGUUAGGACCCAAAAUGGCUCCAUGUGGAUGUGUUGACAAGCACAAGGGACCCCCUGCCUGCAGGUCUCCUCAGUGGCCUUCUUCUGUGGUGGCUGCAGGCAGUGCGAGAUCAGCACAGUAUUUCUUAAUGGUGCCCGAGGUUUGGUAAACUAGUCAAGUGAGGGAAAAAAAUGCCAAUGGAAAAUUAGUUUUCCAGGUUUGCUUUCUCACUUGGUUUCCUUGCCCUGGUCUGACUCAGCAAAAAAUUAAAUACUGAUCCUAGGAGAGAGAGUCUCAAGAGACUUGCCUUUCACAGGUUGGUUUUUUUUUUUUUUUCCCUGAUGCUAAAUUCUUUCCUGGGAGACCUAGAAACAGCAACUUCACAAAUUGCACUUUUAGGAGCCUUACCAUGGCUAGAAUCAUGCAAACAUUUCCUCCUGUGUUCGUUUUUUUUCUGGGUGAAAGGAUUCCUAGGUUCCUGAAGUGGUAUAGAACCAUUUCAGAGUCAUUACUGGGAGCACAUGCCACCAGGCUGGUCAUGCUGUCUAUUUGAAAAGACCAGCCCCCCCCCCCCAAUCCUGCUCAGCCUCACCCCAAGAUAGAGAAUAUGGACUCUUAGGUUCUCACUCAGUAAAUAUAACUGCUAACAUUUAUGCGCUAGAUCGCUGAUAUGGUUUGAUAAAUAUUUCUUUUUAUCUUCCACAACCAUUCAUAGUAAGAAUCGCCAUCAUUCACAGAUGAUGAACUUCAAGCUUAGAGGGGUUAAAGUUUUUUGUCCAAAAUCCUACGUCUAAUAAAUGGUUGAGCCCCGAUUCAAACCUAAUGCUGUGGGGUCAGGAUUUUUAUUAUGUUAUGCAGUCUCUUGCUGCACUGUUUGAUCAGGUCUCCUGAGCUGACAAAUCACAACUGUCUGUAAAUCUUGUGAGAAAUCGGACCAGAAUUUUCCAGCACGAAUCAGCCUCUUUCCCCUUUCAGAAUUCCCAAAGCACAUUUUGCCUCUAAUAGUCGGCUUUAUAAGUAGUUGUGAUUUGCCUUCUCUUACUCAAUUGAGAACAUUAAUAAUAAUAAUAAGAAGAAUGAAGAUGAUGAUGAUUGUUAUGGUUUGUGAGACAAUACAAGAAGGUUCACAGGAGAAAUGGAUGGGUUCUGAGAGUCUUAAUUUAUCAGUGAAUUAAUCCCCUGCUAGGGAUUAAUGUAACUGAAGGCAGGUGGGGUGUGGCUGGAGGGGGUAGGUAUUGGGGUCUCUAUUUGUCUCUGGAGAGUGGAGUCUCUGCUUCCUGAUCACCAUGUGAGCUGCUUCCCUCUACCACACUCUUCCUCCACGAUGUCCUGUCUCACCUCCAGCCCUGAGGGAUGGAGUCUGCUGUCUAUGGACUGAGACCUCUGAAACUGAGAGCCCUCAAAUAGGCUUUUCCUCCUCUACAGUUGUUCUGGUAGGGCCCUUAAGUCGCAGCAAAAAAAGCCAAUUUAAAAUAAUGAUGAUGACAAUAAUAAUAAUAGUAAUGCAGUCUGACUCAGAAUCUAGAGUGUGAUAGUAACUGGGGAAGUGGUGCUUGUGUCUGGUACCAGGACAUCCAUAGUGUCCAGUGCUCUUUCUCUAUUUUCAACCUUUGGGUGAAAUGGGAUCUCCAAGAAGCACACUGAGCUCACAAAAGGCAGAGAUAAGAGGAAAGUGUGAGGUGCUGGGGUUGUGGCUCAGUGGUAGAGCACUCACCUGGAACACACAAGGGCGUGGGUUCAGUCCUCAGCACCACAUAAAAAAAUAAACAAACAGCAGAUUGAAUCAAUGUAUUAAAAAAAAGAGGAAAGUGUGAGAUUUUCACAUACAAGUUUUGUCCUCAGGAAAUGGACACUUGAAUAUAUUACAGAUCUGGUAUCUGUUCUCUUGGUCCUGGAUAUUUGGGAUAUUUCUGGUUUGGGAUCAUUAUGAAUAAAGCAUGGCUUUAUUCAUGGCUAUGAGCAUUUUUCUACAAGCAUUUGUGUGUGUGUGUGUGUGUGUGUGUACACAGGUACUCAUUUAUCUGGAGCAUAUAUCUAGGAAUGGAAGUUCAGGGUCAUAGGGUAGAUUAUAAUUAAUUCUCCCAGAAACUGCUGAAUAGUUCUCCAAAGGGGAUGGCUUCAUUCUACACCUCCAUCAGUAACGUAGGACAGCUCCCCGUCCUCAUCAACGCUUGGCUUUGCCAGAUUUUAAAAAGCUUUAUGCAUCCUGGCAUCUCAGUGUGGUUUUAAUCUGCAUUUCUUUGAUGAGUAAUGCUAUUGAGUAACUUUUUCCUGCACUAACUUCCUGUUCGGUUAUCUUUGGAACACUACCAGCAAUAAAAAUGAGCAACCUGCAAAUGUACACGGUGACACAAGUACACAGCAAAACCACUGAAUGAAAUAAGGAAAACAGACACACGAUAAAAGAAUAUGUGUCCUGGGCUGGGGAUGUGGCUCAAGUGAUAGCAUGCUCUCCUGGCAUGCACUGCGGCCCUGGGUUCGAUCCUCAGCACCACAUACAAAUAAAGAUGUUGUGUCCACCGAAAACUAAAACUAAAAUAAAUAUUUAAAAAAAUUCUCUCUCUCUUUAAAAAAAAAUGUGUCCUUUGUGAUUCCCUUUCAAUGCUGUUCAAUAAAACAACAACAACAACAACAACAACAACAACAAAACUAAUCUACGGUAACAGAAUUAACAUAGUGGAAAUUUCUGGAAUGGACCUUGGUUUAAAAAUAGCAUCAGGGGACUCUCUGGGAUAAUGAAGAUGUUUUAAGUCUUGAUCUGGGAGGUGAUCACAUGGGUGUAUCCAGACAUAAACAAAUUUUGCUUUAAUAAGGUUUAUUAAAGAUUUUGCCAAGUGAAUGCAUUUGGAAAAUGACGUUGGGGAGACUCAGAUCAACACAGUGUGAAGCCACUGUCUAGGGAGCGUUGAUGGUGCUCUGCCACCAAACACCCCUGUGGGUCCCCAUCUGGGGGAGAACACUGAUCCAUGCAACAAAUGCUCUGCUCUUGCCUUCCAGUUUAGGGCUGUCUUCUACAAGGGAGGGACACCCCUGAUUCUCAGGAACCUACUUCUCCAAAUAAGUAUGUCCUCAAAUUCUAUUAGCAAAGAUGUUUCUUCCCUUUCCACUGGGGAAUUGAUGGGAAUAAUUUAGUUUGUUGAACUUUUCUUCAAUUUUGUUGCCACAAACUCUGUUGAAUAAACUACAAAGUUAGGCUUGGGGCUUUAGGAUGAUGAUUUAUAUUGAUUUUUUUUUUCAAGGUCUAAUCUAAUUCUGUUAUUCUAGAGCAAGCUUUUUUUCUUUCUUUCUUUUUUCAGUGAAAGGAAACAAAAAAACCUUAAUCUUUCCUGCAGAGACAGCAUCUUACGUAACCAGACAGUGGCAUCUAACUUUUAGAUGGUGCCAUUAUGACAGCUGCUGACACUUGCACUUGGUCAAUCUCACCAAUGGCAAAACUGGUGCAAAAGGACCGCCUUUUGAGACCCCAAAGCCACGCCCCCAAUGCCCCCUCCUCCAGCCACACCCACCUGCCUCCAGCCACCACCCAGUUAAUCCCCUCAGGGACUCAUUCGCUGACUGGGUUAAGGCUCUCACAACCCAGUCAUGUCCCCUCUGAACCUUCUUGAACUGUCUCACAUGUGAGAGCUUUUGGGGAUACCCCACAUUCAAAGCAGGAUACCCCCUUCCCCGCCUAUUGUGAGUCAGCGUCUGCACAUCAGAGAGAACAUUCUGCCUUUGGUUUUCUUGGGACUGGCCUAUUUCACUUAGCAUGAGAGUCUCCAGCUCCAUCCAUUCUCCUGCAAUGCCAUCAUUUCAUUCUUCUUUAUAGCUGAGUAAUAUUCUAAAGCAAAUUUCAUAUGCCCCGCGUAAUCUACCAUUUGUUGAAUGUCUGUGAUGUUGGCAUGGUACAAGGUUUUUUUUUUUUUUUAAUUCUUAUAAAGUUGUGGUAAAAUAAACUUUGCCAGUUUAACCAGUUUUAAGUGUAUGAUUCACUAGCAUGAAGUACCUUCUAGUUUGCAGUCAUUACCUGUGUCCAUCUCCAGAACUAUUCAUCUUGCAAACUAUAAUUCUGAACCUGUUUAAUACUGACUCCCCAUUCCUUCUCUGCCCUCCCCUAUUCUACCUUCCAUCUGUACAAAGGUGAUAAUUUAGGUACCUCAUGUGAAGCCAAG
rnacentral:lncRNA from 1 species